rnacentral:snRNA from 1 species
GUACUUACCUGUCAGGGGAGAUACCAUGAUCACGAAGGUGGUUUUCCCAGGGCGAGGCUUAUCCAUUGCGCUCUGGAUGUGCUGACCCCUGUGAUUUCCCCAAAUGUGGGAAACUCAGCUGUAUAAUUUGUGGUAGUGGGGGACUGCCUUCCCGCUUUCCCCUG